CAAAACACAUAUUCAGAACAAGUAGUCAUCGUUCAUUUCCUGACAGAGACUUUUUCAUUCGCUGAGAGAAAAAGCUGGAAACCGUUGACGAACACAUCUGUCUAGUCAGCUUCUGAAUUUAGUAAGAAGCUGCGGCAUUCUCCGUUAUCAGAAAAGAAUCUCUAUUACUAUUAGAGACUCUAUGAGGUCACCAUUGCGAAAUCGUGACAAAUUGAGGUGGAACCGCGAAUCUUCGUCCUCUUG
rnacentral:ncRNA from 1 species